rnacentral:rRNA from 1 species
UACGGAGGGGGCUAGCGUUGUUCGGAAUUACUGGGCGUAAAGCGCACGUAGGCGGACCAGCAAGUUAGGGGUGAAAUCCUGGGGCUCAACCCCGGAACUGCCUUUAAAACUGUUGGUCUGGAGGUCGAGAGAGGUGAGUGGAAUUCCGAGUGUAGAGGUGAAAUUCGUAGAUAUUCGGAGGAACACCAGUGGCGAAGGCGGCUCACUGGCUCGAUACUGACGCUGAGGUGCGAAAGCGUGGGGAGCAAACAGG